AGAUUGAACGCUGGCGGCAUGCCUUACACAUAGCAAGUCGAGCGGGCAGCGCGGGGGCAACCCUGGCGGCGAGCGGCGAACGGGUGAGUAAUACAUCGGAACGUGUCCAGUAGCGGGGGAUAACCUGUCGAAAGAUAGGCUAAUACCGCAUACGACCUACGGGUGAAAGCGGGGGACCGCAAGGCCUCGCACUAUUGGAGCGGCCGAUGUCGGAUUAGCUAGUUGCGGGUAAAAGCCACAAGCAACGAUCCGUAGCUGGUCUGAGAGGACGACCAGCCACACUGGAACCUGAGACACGGUCCAGACGUCCUACGGGAGGCGAGCGAGUCGGGGAAUUUUGGACGAAUGGGACGCAAGGCCUGAUCCGAGCCGAUGCCGCGUUGGAGUCGAAGAACGGUCCGUUA
rnacentral:rRNA from 1 species